UCUCCCUCCUAACCACUACAAAGGACCCACGCGAACUCCAUGAGCUUCUCCUCAACCCUAUUCAUCCUCUCGUCGAUUGUGUAGCCUGGCCCGAGCUUGUCAUCCUCACCAUCCACUUCGCAUGUCACCACCAAUGCUCCGGUGGACCUCCGUCCAUGCGGUGCAUGGAUGCAUGUGGCGCGACCUCAUAAAUCUGUCGAUAGCCCGAGCGUCAUUGGAUGUGGCCUAUGCCGCCAGAGCAAGUGCCGGUGAGCACACUAUCCCGUCUCCCCUGCCUCGCCUCUGUUCGAGUGAGAGGAGGGGGAUGAACCUAACCGUAGGGCCCCACGUGUCGGUCGUCCAGUGAGGCCGACGGGUGGGCCUUGCCCUAUUAAGUGGAGGCGGAUUUUUCCCUAGCCACCUUCCUUGUUGUGGAAGCGUACCCGCAAGUGCACCUUUGAAGUGGCACCUACGCACGCGUGGCUGAGCCACUAGGCCAUCCGAGUAGCUAAGUUACGCACAGUGUGUAGUUUAGCAGAUUUAGGUAAGGAUUUUCUUUUCCUUUUUAUCCAUCCAAAGGGAUGGAAUAAUCCCUAAUAAAUUCAAC
rnacentral:lncRNA from 1 species